UACGUAGGGUGCAAGCGUUGUCCGGAAUUAUUGGGCGUAAAGAGCUCGUAGGCGGUUUGUCGCGUCUGCUGUGAAAACCUAAGGCUCAACCUUGGGCUUGCAGUGGGUACGGGCAGACUAGAGUGCGGUAGGGGUGACUGGAAUUCCUGGUGUAGCGGUGGAAUGCGCAGAUAUCAGGAGGAACACCGAUGGCGAAGGCAGGUCUCUGGGCCAAAACUGACGCUGGAGGAGCGAAAGCGUGGGGAGCGAACAGG
rnacentral:rRNA from 1 species